CAGAACAUAGUUUAAGAAAACACUUCGCUUACACCGCAUUGAUGUCUGUUAGACCCAGACUGUUCUGAG
rnacentral:tRNA from 1 species